rnacentral:lncRNA from 1 species
CUCAGCUGUGGCUCAUAGCCUGCCCAUGUGCUCCCUGACUGUCCUGGGGGACUCUGCCCUCUGCCUGGCUAACUUUCCUGUGGUCCUUCCACCUUUCCCAUGGGUGGUACCAGGCAGGGAGUGGGGAGCUGCACAGGGACCUCUGACAGAGCAGGGUGCUCUGAGGCUCUUAGAAGUGACAGGUGGGACAGAGCAGGCACAUAGGAGGGGCCCAGAAGGGUCUGUUAGAGGGAUGUUUGGAAAUCAGUUUCCUUCUUCCCCUCCUUGGCCAAAGCCAGGUUCAUGUGUUAAUUUCCUGUGUAUUGUCUCUGUGUCACAAUGCCCCCCAAUGCCCCCCACCCCUAGAAGGUAUGAAGAGACCUGUGGCCAAUGUCAUGGGCUGCACCAGGGAUGCUGACCAGGCUCCAGAGGAUGUGAGGGGAUCCUAAACCCUGGACAGAGGGUCUGUGGUGAGGGUGCUGUGGUCCCAGGACUGCUUCAUCCUCUCCAUGAGUCACAGACUCUGGUCAUUGAGGAACUACUAGAUGGAGAUUCCAGUGCCAUUUGUAAGACAGGGAAGGACCAUGGCGUCCUUAUAUUCUAUGACUGUGGUGUUGCUGGCUCAGAUGAAGGGCUGCGCCACUGAGCCUGGAAAAACAGAGGAGGUGACUAACUGGGAGUGGGGGUCCUGGGGCCGUGCUCCUUCCUCAGAGAUCUCAUCCAGGUCAAGGUCCACUAUCACCCCAGGAUGACCCCUGACUGGUCCCCCUGGACAUCUCUGCAUUGUCAGCACCAGGAACCUCUUCUCAGUAUACAUGUCCAACAACCUCAUCAUCAGGGAAUGUCUGCAGAGUCUGGAUUGGGGGAAAGGAAUUCCAAACUUUUGACGUGGUUCUCAAUGGCCCCAUUGCUCCUCCACAAGGGCCUCAAACAGGAAAAUGGCUAUACGUGUUCAGAGAAUGAAUAAAAGAAAGCAAGACGGAUAACUGGGUGACACCUGCUUCUGCUCCCGCAUAAUUAAUAUGGGAGUGCUGUGAGUGUGAAGAAAUGGACAUUCACAUACACUUGCAGUGGUGCAUUGGUGCCAUUUUUAUACAAGGUAAUGUGUAGGUUCCUCUCCUAAAUUUUUUGUCUUGAGAAAAAAUUCACAUACCUAAAAUUUACCAUUUUGAAGUGUGAGCCCAUGGGAAUGUGGCCCAUCCAGUCCUUCCAGAGUUCUACUGUGCUGGAGUAUAGACCCAGGGUGGCUAGAUUUCUGCAGAUCCUGUUAAGACGCAAAUUCUGACUUGGCAAGUGUGGGGUGGACCUGAAAGUCUGCAUCUAACAAGCUCUCAGGUGAUGCUGAUCACACUGGCCUGUGGAAUAUAUUUUCAAUACGAAGGCUAAUGGGGACCCCUGUCCCCUGAGAGGAUGACCCACCCAUCCCAGCAUUGACCUCUAUUGUAUCCUGUGUCCUGGCCUUGGGUUCUGUCAGUACCACAUAGAGAACCAGGAGUCCCAAACUCAGGGGAUUAUUUUCUCUUGGGACACAGAAAUCCAGCUGGGCACCAGGAUGUUCCCAGUGUCCUCAAAUGCUCUGGGAAUGCUGGAUUUACUCCUGGCAGGAAGAUCGCAGAGAUGACUCUGGGCAUGAGAAAGGGGCAAGCUGAGUGAUGACCAGUGAGGGUGCCCACCCUCUAUCUCCAGUGUCUCCAGCCUGGCCUCUGCUUUCAGGGAUAGACACUCAAUAUAGGGUGUCACAGGAGCUGCAAUUCUCGGGUGUGAAGGUAGAGGUUUCCCAUGUGUCCUGGGUGAGAGGACAGUGGUGGUGGGAGAUCAGGUGGCUGUGGGCUCCCUGAUCCUUGGGGGAAAGUUUCAGGGAGACCCCCCCACCCAAGCAUGUUGGUUGAGGUGUGGCUCAGAGCCUGUCUAUUUGCUCCCUGAUCAUCCUGGGGGCCCCUGUCCUCUGACUGGCUGACUUUCCUGUGGUCAUUCUGCCUUCCCCAUGGGUGGUACCAGGCAGGGAGUGGGGAGAUGCACACAGACCCCUGACAGAUCAGGGUGCUCUGAGGCCCUUAGAAGGAACGGAUAGGAAGGACCCAGAAGGGUCUUCCUGAGCAAGGGAUAGAAGUCAGGCUCCUUCUUCACCUCCUUAGCCAAAGUCAGGUUCAUGAGUUAAUUUUCUGUGUGUCCCAAUUUCGCCCCCCAAAGGGAAUGCUGCCAGUGUCAGGGGCUGCACCAAGGAUGCUGACCAGGCUCUAGAAGGUGUGCACUGGCACUGGGCCCUGGACAGACAUGAGUUCUGAUCUCCAGGCUGAAGGUCCUCUAAGCCUAGGUCCUGGUCACUGCUGGUUGCGAGGCUGCCCAACUCCAUCCCAGUGUAGGGUGAGCCCAGGGAAAGGACAGGCAUUGUCCAGUGGACUCCUAAUCCAGUGUCCUGUGCUGCCUGGUUGAUGUGCUGCCUCCGGAGAAGCUCUCUGUUCUGGUGGUUUCAAAGGAAGGGUGAGGGGUCUCUUGAGGCUUUCAAGAGAGAGUGAAGGGCUGGUCCCCAGAAUGACCUGUGUUUCCCCAAUCACAGCACUGGGGCAUGGCAUCCGAGUCAUCUGUGUCCCUGUCUGUCAUCUCCUCUAGGCCUUUCCACAGGGCCCAGGACCUAGAUCAGUUCCACAUGAAGACUCAGACAGGGGAUCCUGUGGGUUCCUCUGUUAGGAGAGGGGAGGCUCCAUGGGACCCUCAGCCCCUUUGACAUGGAAGCAAACACAGGUCCUGGUUCUCCUAUCCCAUCCUGCAUUGGAAGUUUCCCUUGUUCACUCUGCUGCCUUGGGCUGGUGAGAUGUCUUCAGGGGACUACAACUAGUGUCCCCACAGACUUGAGACCCUUGAGGUGAGAAGUCACCCCCUGAUUACUCUGAGGUCAGAGUGGGGCUCCCUCCUCCCCUUAGGGUAACUUUACCUGGGGUGGAGAAUCCAGAGUUUGUGUCAGGUCAGGUCUCUGUGAGAAGAGGAAGAACACAGGCUAUCAGCCCAGGCCGUCCAGGGAGAGAAGUCCCUCACAAGGUAGACAUGGGAAGGGGGUGGGAUUUUCUGGAUGAAUGGGGAUCGAACCCCUCACUGUUAGGAGGCCCCUGUCCUCCCUCCUGACUCAACAAGGGGUAAAGGCCUCUCCCCGGGAUAGCCACAGGCCUCCCAUGCUGAUGCCAAUACCCCUGUGUGUACAUGGAAUGUGCUGUGACCUCCAGGUGUCAUACAGGAGUGAAGGGCUUCCAUUGUGUGGUUUCCUCAACCAUUUGAGAAAUUUAUUUGACAUGUUUAUUAAGCAUCUGUUACUGGGUGCAGACAGGGAUGGCUGGAUACCUGGCCUGGCUUAGGUCUGCUCCUUACAGACAUUGUCGCUGGAGUGCAGGCUACUGUUCAGAGUCCCCACUUGGGCACAAGGAAGGGAUCCGAUGUCUCCAUGUCUCAUCAGGGAUUAAUUGUGGUGGCCUGCUCUCUGGAUCUGCCUCCUGCUCUCAUUUCCAGUUCCUGUCAAACCUCUGCCUCCCAUCCUGGCACUGCCUGAGGCCUCAGCACUGCCUCUCUGGCACUGGGGUCUGGACACUGUCAGGUACUGAGCUGACCAAACCCUCUGUCUCAUGUGACCCUCCUGGUGUUGGAGAGAAGGGCCAGGUGAUGGGAUCAGGGCUGCCUCCUGGGAAAGCACCUCCAAAUCUCGGUGUCUUUAUAAAUCCAUGGAGGCAAAAUGCAAGGUUAUAUGAGAAGAACUGCAUAAGUGCACCAUGACCCAGAGGGUCACUGGAACAGAAUUGUUGACUAGAAUCACAGGGUACAGCCUGCCAGGGGUGCCAGAAUCUUCUAAGAGCAGCUACUGUGUGCCAGGUAUUGUGCUGGGUGCUUGACACAAAGAUGCAUGCGGUCCUUACAACAACCUUAUGAGGCAGGUACUCUUAGUGUACCUAUUUCACAGAGGAGCAAAGCAAGGCUCACAGAUACUGUUACUUGCCCAUGUCACCCAGCACCCAGUGAGUACCUGGUACCAUAAGGAGCUAGAGUGACAUGUGUGCCUCUAGGGGCUCACUUGUCACCUUAUCCUACAAGGAAAACCCCACUGCUUAAUCGUCCACGUGCCUAAAAUUCAAAUCACUUUUAAUUGUUUUUGUGUAUAUUUGUUUGCAUCCAUUUAAAUACUGUAAAAUUAAAAACAAUUUAAAAUAAAAC